rnacentral:rRNA from 1 species
AGCUCCAGUAGCGUAUAUUAAAGUUGUUGCGGUUAAAAAGCUCGUAGUUGGGUUUCUGCCGGGAGCACCUGAUCCGCCCUCUGGGCAGGUUUUCGGCGUGUUCUUGGCAUCUUUCUGGGGACGGCUUCUGUACUUGACUGUAUGGAGUGGAAUCCAGGGCUUUUACUUUGAGGAAAUUAGAGUGUUCCAAGCAGGCUGCUGCCUUGAAUGCAUUAGCAUGGAAUAAUGAGAUAGGACCUCGGUUCCUUUUUGUUGGUUUCUUGAACUGAGGUAAUGAUUAACAGGGGCAGUUGGGGGCAUUCGUAUUUAACUGUCAGAGGUGAAAUUCUUGGAUUUGUUAAAGACGCACUACUGCGAAAGCAUUUGCCAAGGAUGCUUUCA